rnacentral:miRNA from 1 species
UAAUCGCUUUGCGUUCGUC